GACGUAGGGCGCGAGCGUUGUCCGGAUUUAUUGGGCGUAAAGAGCUCGUAGGCGGCUUGUCGCGUCGAAUGUGAAAUCUCGGGGCUCAACUCCGAGCUUGCAUUCGAUACGGGCAGGCUAGAGUUCGGUAGGGGAGACUGGAAUUCCUGGUGUAGCGGUGAAAUGCGCAGAUAUCAGGAGGAACACCGGUGGCGAAGGCGGGUCUCUGGUCCGAUACUGACGCUGAGGAGCGAAAGCGUGGGGAGCGAACAGG
rnacentral:rRNA from 1 species